UACGAGGGGGGCGAGCGUUGUUCGGAAUUAUUGGGCGUAAAGGGUGCGUAGGCGGUUUGGUAAGUCUGAUGUGAAAUCUAUGGGCUCAACUCAUAGUCUGCAUCGGAAACUGCCGGGCUUGAGUAUGGGAGAGGUGAGUGGAAUUCCGAGUGUAGAGGUGAAAUUCGUAGAUAUUCGGAAGAACACCAGUGGCGAAGGCGACUUACUGGACACAUAUUGACGCUGAGGUGCGAAAGCGUGGGGAGCAAACAGG
rnacentral:rRNA from 1 species